ACUAAAAUGUUCAACCCUUCUAAGCUAUGUUCAGAAGGUAUCUGAUAAGGUUUCUCUGGCUACUGAUUUAAUAUGCAACUUCAACUCCAUGUCAAGAGACGUCACUGCUAGCUUUGGUUAUGACUAGAUCCUUUGACAGUGCCGCCUUAGGGGAAAGGUUGAUUCCAAUGGCGUCUGUGCUGCAUUUUUGGAGGAGCGGUUAAACAUGGGUCUGAACUUCAUUCUUUCUGCCGAGCUUGAUCACAAGAAAAAAGACUACAAAUUUGUAUU